UGGGGAAUAUUGCACAAUGGGCGAAAGCCUGAUGCAGCAACGCCGCGUGAGUGAUGAAGGCCUUCGGGUUGUAAAGCUCUGUCUUUUGGGACGAUAAUGACGGUACCAAAGGAGGAAGCCACGGCUAACUACGUGCCAGCAGCCGCGGUAAUACGUAGGUGGCAAGCGUUGUCCGGAUUUUACUGGGCGUAAAGGAUGCGUAGGCGGAUUUUUAAGUGAGAUGUGAAAACCCUAAGCUUAACUUGGGGACUGCAUUUCAUACUGGAAAUCUAGAGUGCGGGAGAGGAGAAUGGAAUUCCUAGUGUAGCGGUGAAAUGCGUAGAGAUUAGGAAGAACACCAGUGGCGAAGGCGAUUCUCUGGACCGUAACUGACGCUGAGGCAUGAAAGCGUGGGUAGCAAACAGGAUUAGAUACCCUGGUAGUCCACGCCGUAAACGAUGAGUACUAGGUGUAGGAGGUAUCGACCCCCUUCUGUGCCGCAGUUAACACAAUAAGUACUCCGCCUGGGAAGUACGAUCGCAA
rnacentral:rRNA from 1 species